UUGAUCCUUUCCUGUCCAUGGACCGGAGAAGAGUUACAAGGCACAGCCAGGGUCCCUCUGCCCAGGGUGGUUCCAGUGAUUGGCCUAAUGCCUGGCCCAGGCUUCUGUGGACUGGAAAGGCCAAGCGUGGAGUCUACAUCUGGGGCACAGAGGAGUGACUGUCGCACUAGCCUCCAGCAGAGACUCACCUCCUAGAACUAUGUAUGGAAUGUGGUCCUGCUCACACUGCCCACCAGCGGGACCUUUUCUGAGAGUUCUCUCCACCCUCUGUGACUAUAUGUGGAUAUUAGCUACUGAACAAGGAGUGGAUGUCUCAAACAGCCUCAUGUAUUCAGGGAGAAGAGAAUGACAAGUCAACUUUGCAUCACUUGUAAACACAUUUAAAGUCAACAGUUCAAAAAGAAUCACGUGAAGGGAAAUCCAUCAGCACACCAAGCAAUGUUCAGUAUAGUAGCUACCACAUGCCUGGAAGCUACCUGAGCCAACGACAGCACUAAAGCGAACACCUGUUGAUUGUUCACCGGUUUUCAGAGUAUGUCAAGUGUCCCGUUGGUUAUAUUUUCAGUUCUUCUUGCAAUGCUAUGAGCUAUGUGCUAUUACUUUCUUUUUGUAGAUGAACAAGAUGAGGCUUGCAAAAAUCAGGUAAUACACCAAAAAUUACAGUGUUUUUAAAUGGAUGUCAGAGUCCAGAGACUGAACUCUUAAGCACUGCUCAGUAUUCUCUGGUUGAUAAGGUGAAUCUUCUCCAUUUGUAGAUGAGGGGAAAAAAAGUGUAGAGAACAAGAAGCAAUUUUCCUGAUCUCAUACCCAGUGAAUCUGAAAUGCAAACCCCGGUUUGAUUUUAUGUAAACCUCAGUUCCUUUUAUGGCCCCUAUUGGUUUGACUCAACGGGGCCCCAAAUGAUGAUAGAAAUGAGGGAAAAAGGGUGGUUAGCCCUUUGAAGAUACAGCAGCUCGGAGGAGGGGGGGAAACUGUGGAGAAAGGCAUCCCGUUUGCCCAUCUUGUGACACCUGUGUCAGCCUGGCUGUGCCUUCCUGUACAGGACUCUUCACUUAGUGACCAUGAGAGUACACACAUGGAUGAGCAGGAUGACACAGCUUCACACUUACGUCCUUCGAUGUGGGGUCUCAGGGCUUUUCACCAGGGGUUUUGUGCAUUGAUAGACGGAAUUUGCCUUAGGGCUCAGAAUGCUUCUCUGUCUACAGCUCCUUUCUCCCUUCCUCCCUUUCCAUUUUAUUUUUAUUUUCUUCUCCUCCCCCAUUUUGGCUUUCAAGGAUUUUCCUGAUAUAAAACCUUCUUGCCAUUUUCCCAGAGAGUAUUGAAAUAUCUCAGGAAUCUAUAUAUGAGUGCCCAAAUUAAUAUUUCCAAGCCUAGGAAAUGUGGAAUUUCCAACUGUGGAAAUGAAGCCGCUACUAACAAACCCUAGCCCCCAUCAGACUGCAUUGACUAGUUUUUCUUAUUCAUUCAUUCAUUCAUUCAUUCAUUCAUUCUUCCACUCAUUCAGUUUGUAGCCCUCGCUAGCCUGGGGUCAUGAUACAACAGGCUAGCCUCAAACUUUAGGCCUUCUUCUGCCUUUGCCUCACUAGGACAGUGGGCGUGCACCACCGCGACAGUCACACUUCUAAUUAGAAAACAAAUUUACCACAGCUUAGGCAGAGUGUACCCAUGUCUGUGUUUGAACUUGAAGUUAUUCUAUGUAGAAAUAAUCCAGAGCAGACUUCAGACUUGUCCUCAACCAGACCUCUCUGAUAGGAUUACACCUCAGGCCCCAGCUUGCCUUCAGCUCUGUCGUUAGGUAAUAGCAGGUCCCGCCCUCAAUGAGAAGUGCUGUUUCAUUCACAGCAAGGCUGGAAACGGCGAGACUAGAGAUCACCUCGGUCCUUGAGUAGUAAGGUGACUCCUUAAGUUAGAGGACUUUCCUAAACACAAAGCCGACAUCAGAGAAAGGGGUAAGAGCUCUUUGGUCAAAUAAAAUUCCAGCAAAAGGGUAGUAUAGCUUACCAAGGGAACAGAGAUAGGCCUGAAAGGCAUGGUUGCUCUGAAUCUUUGACUAUUUAGCAAACUGAAGGUUGAGGUGAGUCAGGGUGUUCUAACCUAUGCACUUGAAAAACCCACCCACUAGGGCCUGGAGAGACAGUUUAGGCAGUAAAGCUCUUGCCUUGCAAGCUUGACCUGAGUAUGGGAGUUUAUAUUAGCAGCACCCACAUAAAUGCCUAGAAGGCAGGGUAGCUCCCAGCAUGCAGGAGGUAGAGACAGGAGAGCUCGCACAUGAGCUCCGUGGGGUUCAGCAAUUGACCUCAUCUCAAUAUAUAGCUGGAGAGUGAUCAUGGAAGACAAGCUCCACAUGCAUGUGUAUGCACAUGUGCCCUGAAGAGGAAGAGCCCCUACAGUGGAGUUCCCUAUCCACCCUUUCGUUGCAACCUGAGGUAUCCUAGAAAGGCCCUCAGCCCAUCCAGCACCUUCAAAGAGGGAUCUUUGAGAUACAAGUCUUUUCUAUUUUUCUCAAAGCCAGUCACCAACGAAUUCAUUUCCUUCCACUUAAUUUCUAUCUCCCAGUUUUUGGGCAGAGUGAUCACAGGAACUCUAGAUUAUGGUCACAUCACUAUAGAGUAGUAUUGGUUCUCAUAGUGACUUCUCAUGGGAUCAGUUGGGAAAUCUUUCCAUAAUUUGUUUUUAACUGAAAGAAGGGUGUGUGAGAGUUGGUUUUGUGUGUUCUAACAGCUUUCUUGGUCUUUCUAGUAUGCACCAAAGUUAAGAAAUACUGCUUUAGAAUAUAAUACAUUGAUUUUAUUGGAACAUCUCUUUUCAAGUACCAACAAUCAUAAUUGUUUCAAUAACUAUCAACAGAAUUGUCAUUUCAGCCCAAUGUAGACAAAAUAAAAGUCUAGUUUUAAUUUUUAGAGAUCAUCUUGGUAUUCACAAGGAAAUUAUAAAGAAUUGUUUUUUAAAGAAACAACUACAGCUUUUUGCCUUUAUGUCAAUGAGAGGUAUUAUCUGUUCUAAAUUUGUUUUCUGUAUGAAUUUACCAUGAGAGAGUACAUUGCACAUUAUGGUACAAAUGAAAUGCUUAUAGAGCCAAAAUCUACAUUUCAUUACCUAUAGGACCAAAAUCAAGUUAUCUAAAAUUGCUGAGCCCAAGUUCCUUACAUGCCCUUUUAGUGCCCUUGAGACCAAUAAGAAGCUAUCAAAGGUCUCAGAACCAUGGCCUCUUAAGUGUCUGCUUUAGUGGAUCCUUGAGAGUUCUCAAUGUAUAAAUAGAUUGUUUAUGACUUUACUAGUAUAUAAUGAUAGUCCUUAUCUAUCAACAUGGCACAAUUUAGAAAACACCUGGAAAAGCAAUCUUAAUUGAAGAACUAUCUGAAUCAAGUUGGUGUGAUGGCAUGUUCAUAGAUUGUCUUGAUUGACCAUUGAACCAGGAAGACCCAGUCCACUGUGGGUGGCACCAUUUCCUAAGCAGGGAGUCCUCCACUACGUAAGAAAGGGGAUACUGAGCAGACCAGAAUACAUUUGUUUUUCUCUGCUCUUGACUGUGGAUGUGAAGUGACCAGCUAUCUCAAGUGACUUCUCUGUGGUGAUGGACUGUCACUAAAAUUGUCAUCCCCUAAGUUGCUUUUUAUCAGGAUAUUUUAUCACAGCAACAGAAAUGAAACCAGAACACAACACAGUAGUAGAAUUACUCAGAUAUUACCUCUGAUCUCCAUUUCCAGGGAUGGCAUCUACUAAAUACCUCCUGAGUGUCACAACUGCUGUCAUUUAUUAUAAUGGGCUCUGGAUCCCCUCGUGAAGCUGACUGAUUGGUACUCACAUCUUUCAGGUUGAUAAAUAUUUUUAAUAUUACAUCUGUCCAUGUUUCAGUACAACCAGAAAAACAUAGUUUAUACUGCCAGGCUUUAUAAAUUAAUACAACAUACCAAACUGGAACCUAGUUUAUCAAUUUUUCAUGAGCAUGGUUGGCAUGACUCUUCAAAAUCUUACCACUGACAGAAUCAAUUCUCAAGCUCGAAGAGUGAGAACAUUCGACACAAGAGGGAGGUGCUGUUCUAGGGAGGUGAAUCUCCUAGAUCUACUAAGCUGGGAGGGCAAAACACAUGAUGCAGCGGGGUAGGGCAGCAGGAGCAGAAGACGCUGACUCACGGUGACUGUAGAAUUCUUGCUCUUAGAAAGCCCAGAGAGCAUUGGAACUUGAAUGAGAUGGAAGAAAGUGAAUUGAUUAGCGUUGUGGUGUUUGUGCAUCUUAUAAAGUGUGUGGAAUUGUGUGAGUCUCUUCCUCUCUGUCACCACAUUCAUUGUCCUUGCAAACUGCCUUAUAUUUCAGCUUGUAUUAGAUAUGAUUAGUUUUAAAGAGUUGGGCCCCCAGGGACCUUCUACUUUGUCUCCUGGGAUAUGUCAGGCUUCGCUGGCAUCCCCAAACAGCCAGAAAUGGCAGCACUGGUGUCAAUGAAAGCAGUCGCAACGACCUCUGCAGGCUUCCGUAGAUGUGAGCAGUCCUGGCUACCUUUGGCAUUUUCAGUCAUGGGCUCAUGUGAGAAUAACAGUGUUGUAGAAAUUUAGCAGAGUCGCUGCAUCUGGGGUAGACAUUCAAAUGAAGAGUUGUUUUCUAGAAGCACUUUGACCUUGAAGAAUCAUUGUGGAAGACAGUGAAGGGUUUAAACUUUCCGGCUUUACAACUGAAUUUAGGUUUCAGUUCUCUGAGAGGGACAAAAAAAGGUGUCUCUCCCAGCAAAGGCCAUUAAGCAAAAACACCCUUAUUCAGGGAUGAGGGAGAGAGCACCGUAUUAGGCCUCAGUCAGCCCCACAAA